UGAAAUAUUACAACAGUCUGAAGAAUUUGCGUAGCAUUCAGUAGCAAAAAGAAUGAACUCAAAAGCUCUUAUAGAAAUAAAUGAACAUUCUUUUCGUGAGCAGAAAGUUUCUGUCUUUUCCAGCAUGACCAAACGAUCAUCCCCAAGACAAAUCAUAACGGUUUUGCUUGGCACAAAAUCAAAAUGAAACACAAAAAACAC
rnacentral:lncRNA from 1 species